GGAGGGUGCAAGCGUUGUUCGGAAUUACUGGGCGUAAAGAGCGUGUAGGCGGCCUUUUAUGUCGGGUGUGAAAGCCCUCGGCCCAACCGAGGAAGUGCGCCUGAAACUGAUUGGCUUGAGUACGAGAGAGGAGGACGGAAUUCCCAGUGUAGAGGUGAAAUUCGUAGAUAUUGGGAAGAACACCGGUGGCGAAAGCGGUUCUCUGGAUCGAUACUGACGCUGAGACGCGAAAGCGUGGGGAGCAAACAGGAUUAGAUACCCUGGUAGUCCACGCCGUAAACGAUGGAUAUUAGAUGUUGCGGGCUUAUAAACUCGCAGUGUCGACGCUAACGCAUUAAAUAUCCCGCCUGGGGAGUACGGCCGCAAGGUUA
rnacentral:rRNA from 1 species